ACGGGGACCCGCACAGGCGGUGGAUGAUGUGGAUUAAUUCGAUGCAACGCGAAGAACCUUACCUACCCUUGACAUGUCCGGAACUUGCCAGAGAUGGCUUGGUGCCCGAAAGGGAAUCGGAACACAGGUGCUGCAUGGCUGUCAUCAGCUCGUGUCGUGAGAUGUUGGGUUAAGUCCCGCAACGAGCGCAACCCUUAUCAUUAGUUGCUACGCAAGGGCACUCUAAUGAGACUGCCGGUGACAAACCGGAGGAAGGUGGGGAUGACGUCAAGUCCUCAUGGCCCUUAUGGGUAGGGCUUCACACGUCAUACAAUGGUCGGUACAGAGGGUUGCCAAGCCGCGAGGCGGAGCCAAUCCCACAAAGCCGAUCGUAGUCCGGAUUGUUCUCUGCAACUCGAGAGCAUGAAGUCGGAAUCGCUAGUAAUCGCAGGUCAGCAUACUGCGGUGAAUACGUUCCCGGGUCUU
rnacentral:rRNA from 1 species